AACGCGAAGAACCUUACCAGGCCUUGACAUCCAAUGAACUUUCUAGAGAUAGAUUGGUGCCUUCGGGAACAUUGAGACAGGUGCUGCACGGCUGUCGUCAGCUCGUGUCGUGGGAUGUUGGGUUAAGUCCCGUAACGAGCGCAACCCUUGUCCUUAGUUACCAGCACGUUAUGGUGGGCACUCUAAGGAGACUGCCGGUGACAAACCGGAGGAAGGUGGGGAUGACGUCAAGUCAUCAUGGCCCUUACGGCCUGGGCUACACACGUGCUACAAUGGUCGGUACAGAGGGUUGCCAAGCCGCGAGGUGGAGCUAAUCCCAGAAAACCGAUCGUAGUCCGGAUCGCAGUCUGCAACUCGACUGCGUGAAGUCGGAAUCGCUAGUAAUCGCGAAUCAGAAUGUCGCGGUGAAUACGUUCCCGGGCCUUGUACACACCGA
rnacentral:rRNA from 1 species